AUCGGCAUGUAUGAAUACGAACCUUCCAUCCUGAAAUUCCCUAUUGACAAUUUCCGUUGAUACUGAUAACAUCUAUCUGAUUAGGAUGCGCGUAAGUUGUCGUUGGAUGGUAGAAAGACGAUGGCCCAGGACGUAACUCCUGGGCUGUUUUAGUUGACUGCCCCGAUGGAACGAAGAGCAUCACAAAAAAAACAAAACAAAAAAAAGGAAAUCAAGAAAUGUCUGAACGUAUCACCGGCACUGUCAAAUGGUUCAAUGGAAGCAAGGGAUAUGGCUUCAUCUCCCGCGAAAAUGGACCUGACGUCUUCGUCCACUUCUCUGCCAUCCAGAGCGAGGGCUACCGCAAUCUCACGGAAGGCCAGAUGGUGGAAUUCACCGUCGAAAAAGGCGCCAAGGGCUUGCAAGCUGCCAACGUCAUCCCCCUAGGAUAAUUUUUUAGCCUAACCAAACGAAACCCCCGAAGUUCCCCUUCGGGGGUUUUUU
rnacentral:sRNA from 1 species